rnacentral:rRNA from 1 species
AAACUCAAAUGAAUUGACGGGGGGCCCGCACAAGCGGUGGAGCAUGUGGUUUAAUUCGAUGCAACGCGAAGAACCUUACCUACUCUUGACAUCCAGAGAACUUUCCAGAGAUGGAUUGGUGCCUUCGGGAACUCUGAGACAGGUGCUGCAUGGCUGUCGUCAGCUCGUGUUGUGAAAUGUUGGGUUAAGUCCCGCAACGAGCGCAACCCUUAUCCUUACUUGCCAGCGGGUAAUGCCGGGAACUUUAGGGAGACUGCCGGUGAUAAACCGGAGGAAGGUGGGGACGACGUCAAGUCAUCAUGGCCCUUACGAGUAGGGCUACACACGUGCUACAAUGGUCGGUACAGAGGGUUGCGAAGCCGCGAGGUGGAGCUAAUCUCAUAAAGCCGGUCGUAGUCCGGAUUGGAGUCUGCAACUCGACUCCAUGAAGUCGGAAUCGCUAGUAAUCGUGGAUCAGAAUGCCACGGUGAAUACGUUCCCGGGCCUUGUACACACCGCCCGUCACACCAUGGGAGUGGGCUGCACCAGAAGUAGAUAGCUUAACCUUCGGGAGGGCGUUUACCAGGGGUGUGGUUCAUGACUGGGGUGAAGUCGUAACAAGGUAACCG